rnacentral:tRNA from 1 species
CGUGUAGCUCAGCUGGAUAGAGCGUCUGGCUACGGACCAGAAGGCCGCGGGUUCGAAUCCUGUCACAC